GAGUUUGAUCCUGGCUCAGGAUGAACGCUAGCGGCAGGCCUAACACAUGCAAGUCGAACGGUAACAGGAAUUAGCUUGCUAAUUUGCUGACGAGUGGCGCACGGGUGCGUAACGCGUAUACAAUCUACCUUUUACAGUGGGAUAGCCUUUAGAAAUGAAGAUUAAUACCGCAUAGUAUGUUUGAGUGGCAUCAUUUAGACAUUAAAGAUUUAUCGGUAAAAGAUGAGUAUGCGUUCUAUUAGCUAGAUGGUAAGGUAACGGCUUACCAUGGCAACGAUAGAUAGGGGCCCUGAGAGGGGGAUCCCCCACACUGGUACUGAGACACGGACCAGACUCCUACGGGAGGCAGCAGUGAGGAAUAUUGGACAAUGGGCGCAAGCCUGACCCAGCCAUGCCGCGUGCAGGAAGACGGCCCUAUGGGUUGUAAACUGCUUUUAUACAGGAAGACACACUGCUACGUGUAGCAGCUUGACGGUACUGUAAGAAUAAGGACCGGCUAACUCCGUGCCAGCAGCCGCGGUAAUACGGAGGGUCCGAGCGUUAUCCGGAAUCAUUGGGUUUAAAGGGUCCGUAGGUGGAUAAUUAAGUCAGAGGUGAAAUCCUGCAGCUCAACUGUAGAAUUGCCUUUGAAACUGGUUAUCUUGAGUUAUUAUGAAGUAGUUAGAAUAUGUAGUGUAGCGGUGAAAUGCAUAGAUAUUACAUAGAAUACCCAUUGCGAAGGCAGAUUACUAAUAAUAUACUGACACUGAUGG
rnacentral:rRNA from 1 species